rnacentral:rRNA from 1 species
GACGUAGGGCGCGAGCGUUGUCCGGAAUCAUUGGGCGUAAAGCGCGCGUAGGCGGCCCGGUAAGUCCGUUGUGAAAGUCAAAGGCUCAACCUUUGAACGCCGAUGGAUACUGCCGGGCUAGAGUCCGGAAGAGGCGAGUGGAAUUCCUGGUGUAGCGGUGGAAUGCGCAGAUAUCAGGAGGAACACCGAUUGCGAAGGCAGCUCGCUGGGACGUUACUGACGCUGAGACGCGAAAGCGUGGGGAGCAAACAGG